UCUGUGUGUUGAACUCCCCUACUCCUG
rnacentral:piRNA from 1 species